AGUGAACGCUGGCGGUAGGCCUAACACAUGCAAGUCGAACGGCAGCACAGUAAGAGCUUGCUCUUACGGGUGGCGAGUGGCGGACGGGUGAGGAAUACAUCGGAAUCUACUUUUUCGUGGGGGAUAACGUAGGUAAACUUACUCUAAUACCGCAUACGACCUACGGGUGAAAGCAUGGGAUCUUCGGACCUUUCGUGUUUUAAUGAGCCGAUGUCGGAUUAGCUAGUUGGCGGGGUAAAGGCCCACCAAGGCGACGAUCCGUAGCUGGUCUGAGAGGAUGAUCAGCCAAACGGGAACUGAGACACGGACCAGAGUCCUACGGGAGGCAGCAGUGGGGAAUAUUGGACAAUGGGCGCAAGCAUGAUCCAGCAAUACCGCGUGGGUGAAGAAGGACUUCGGGUUGUAAAGCACUUUUGUUGGGAAAGAAAAGAAGCAGGUUAAUACCACGAUGUUCUGACGGUACCCAAAGAAUAAGCACCGGCUAACUUCGUG
rnacentral:rRNA from 1 species